CACUGAGUUUUUCCCGUUUGGAAAGGAGAGCAGAGCACGUGAAGGAGGGGACCACCACAAGACCACCAGCGACGGCAACAGAACAAAACAACGCAGGGCUCGGGGACACUUCUAGAGGCUGCGGAGCGAAUCCACGAGCCGAUGGCGGUGCGUAGACAGCUGCCGCCCCUCACCGAGCCCCGCCGCCCGCCCCAAGGCGCAGUUCUCACACCGUUCUGACGGACGGACGGGGACCGACGAGGAGAGGAGCCGGGCUUCGCGCCCGCCGCUCGGGAAUGAUGAGGAAGACAGCCAAGAAGCAGAUGAGAAGAUGAAGAAAGCAAUAAAGGAAGAAAGAUGAAAGUCAGAGCUGAGAUAUGUCAGUGUGGUCACACUGGCUCUCACAUUUUCUGCAGAGACCAGGAAAGAGUAUUAUCAUCUGAGCAUCUUUGUGGAAAUUCUGAUUAAAUUGAAGCCACAUUACACCGUCACACAGGGAGAUAUAAUCUAGCACAUCCCAUCAUACUGCUUGUCUUAUUUAAGAGAUUGCAGUUCAUUGCUUUAGUAGAGUCUUCUCAGAGGCUCACUGUGAGGGCAAAUCUUUGGCAGGUAUCUCAAUAUGUACUGAAAACUCAUCCUGGGAAACGUGGGUUUCCUACAAACAUGUAUUGUGUGGUUUGCUGGGGUGGAUGAACUGAACCCACCCUUUUUAAGUGGUCUAGGAUAACAACUGAAGCUGGAGUGUGACUCAGCCCAGGCCAAAACAGCCCUCUUCUACCUCUGCUUGACCUCUUCUUGCAUGGGAAAACUCUGCUUUGUGUAACAACAUGCCAGGAGCCAAGAAGCAAUAAAUAGAAUUGUUAUGGUUCCAAA